rnacentral:lncRNA from 13 species
AUGGGUAUGGUUAAUUUCUACCCCAAAGUCAAGCUUCUUGCAAAAGCAAUGGUAGUGGAUAACUAUGAUAAUGAACACAUUUUCACCAAGAAGAUUACUACUUCUGUCUUAAUAAAGAUGUCAUAUUAUUGGAUCCCUGAUAACUGGAUUCCUGCAUUAUCAACUCUAACAGGAGCUCUUUUUGUGCUGUGCCUCUAUGCCGUUGCAUGGUGCCUCUUCAAAGAUUCUCCUGUUUGUUCAAGAUUAUUUCCCCACUGCCACAAACAUCACCAGAGCCAACCAAGUCUCACAACCAAAGGACCUGGUGUAGUACCAAGUGACAGGAAUACAGUAACUAUUUGA